AACUGCCAGUUCAGAUGGUUUCAACAGAAAAAUCCACAAAUUUUAUUUUUAAAUAUGUAUGUACCAUUCCAAUGGCACUUUGCAGAAAUAUAAUUUAAUUUGUACAAAGCGCACCUACACGAAAAAAUUGACCAUUUGCUCAUGCUUUUGUACGCCACAGAAGCAGAGCCUGGUGACUUAGAAUCCUGAAACAUCUGCAGUCUACCCAAGGGGGAGGGUCAAAUUUGAAGGACAGACUGAUCAACCUUCUAGAAUAGGUAAGAGCUAAAGAUCUGUGAAGGACACGAACACAAAAGAAACAAACAAACAAGAAUGAACGUGAGCUCGCAGCUCCUCUACCAGGGUGUGUUCACACGGUUAUACCUAGCUGGGAAAAGGGAAAGAAAAAAAAAAAAAGAUUAGUGAAAAGAAAUUCAGAAAAAAAU
rnacentral:lncRNA from 1 species